GCGGGGCAACCCGCAAGUAGAGUGGCGAACGGGUGAGUAAUACAUCGGAACGUGUCCAGUAGCGGGGGAUAACCUGUCGAAAGAUAGGCUAAUACCGCAUACGACCUACGGGUGAAAGCGGGGACCGCAAGGCCUCGCACUAUUGGAGCGGCCGAUGCCGGAUUAGCUAGUUGGUGGGGUAACGGCCUACCAAGGCAACGAUCCGUAGCUGGUCUGAGAGGACGGUCAGCCACACUGGAACUGAGACACGGUCCAGACUCCUACGGGAGGCAGCAGUGGGGAAUUUUGGACAAUGGGGGCAACCCUGAUCCAGCCAUGCCGCGUGAGUGAAGAAGGCCUUCGGGUUGUAAAGCUCUUUCGGCGGGGACGAAACGGUCUGUGCUAAUACCACGGACUAAUGACGGUACCCGAAGAAGAAGCACCGGCUAACUACGUGCCAGCAGCCGCGGUAAUACGUAGGGUGCAGGCGUUAAUCGGAAUUACUGGGCGUAAAGCGUGCGCAGGCGGUCUGUUAAGACAGGUGUGAAAUCCCCGGGCUUAACCUGGGAAUUGCGCUUGUAACUGGCAGGCUGGAGUGUGGCAGAGGGGGGUGGAAUUCCAAGUGUAGCAGUGAAAUGCGUAGAUAUUUGGAGGAACACCGAUGGCGAAGGCAGCCCCCUGGGCUAACACUGACGCUCAUGCACGAAAGCGUGGGGAGCAAACAGGAUUAGAUACCCUGGUAGUCCACGCCCUAAACUAUGUCAACUGGUUGUCGGGGAAGAAAUUCCUUGGUAACGAAGCUAACGCGUGAAGUUGACCGCCUGGGG
rnacentral:rRNA from 1 species